GAAGGUGGUGCAGUGGUUUGAGUGUUGGACUGUGACUCUGGAGACCAGGGUUCGAUUCCCAACUCA